AGAUCAUGACCUGAGCCGAAGUCAGACGCUUAACCGACUGAGCCACUCAGGCACCCCCAAUCUGUGUGUGGCAGGCACUAAAAUAAAAUGUACAUUUUUGGCCUGACAAAGAGUUUACGUGUAUAGUAUAUCUUACAGGGACAACACAAGUUCAAUAAUAUGAGUUCUAAUUGUAAUAGUUACAGAUGUCUUCACAAUAAUUAUGUGACUAGAUAGUUAACAUUUCCUUUCCCAUUUAAAUCCAGUCUGGCUUGGAGUUCUCACUUGAGGAAGUCAACAAGAGGUGUUCUGUGUUUGUCAUUUCCCAUGACUGUUUCCCCACCAUGUGGGUGUCCCAGGCCUGACGGGGAGACCGGUUGGUGGGGAGGUGGGUGGGUCCCUGCUGGCUCAGGCUUCUCCCAGGCAGGCCUUUCUUCCCCUGGCACCCCUCACCUCGUGCUGGCCACAGACCCUUGGUGCCCCUCUCAGUACAGACAUGGGUCCCCAGCCCCCUGGGUGGCCCCCUGUGUGCCCUUCUCAUUAUGAAGGAGGAAAAAAUACUUUUACAACCUAUUUCCUCUCUGGAAAUUCAAGGUGUUUUUCAGAAGUUUCCUUGUUCACGACAAGGGGAUUUCAAUCCUUAAGGAGCGACUUGAUGGCUGUCGGCCAGUCUGGAGCAGCCUCAGGAAAGUGACUGAGCCCUAUUUGAACUGGCUCACUUUCAUAUUUCCCAGGAGAGGAAACAAUUGUACGUUUCUCUAUUCAAGGACCAGAAGUGUAGAAGUGAUCUCUGCAUGCUGUGCUGGGGAUAGGUGGCUCAAUUCUUUUGAGGGUUUCUACUUUUUUCCUGCUUUAGGUUCUGAAAUUGCCCCUCCCCCCACACCCCUUCCCUCUAUUCCAUUGGGUUGGGAAGCCAUUGCUGACAGACGGAUCGGACAAAGUACAAUUUAGCCACUGUUACGGGUUCAGAUGACAUGUUGAAGAUCUAACCUCAGGUAUCUCAGAAUAGAUGUACUCUCAAAAACCUGGACCCGGGUGACUGAGAAGACACGCAUACAAUUAUACCAGCACAAGAAACCCUGGAAACAAUCCAAACGUUCAUCAUCGGCCAGAGAAUAAAGUAUGUUUACACAAUGGGAUUCUCUCUGGUGGUGAAAUGAAUGAGCGAGAGCUAUACAUGUAUAUGUAAAUGAGUCUUGCAAACAGAAGACGAUAGACAAUGUAGAAUAAAGAUAUGCAAACUGCAGAAGAAUA